CCACCAUGAUCUGCGGAACGCAAUUAGUCCAGAUCUCCCUCCCACGAUCCCUGGAAACAACGCACCUCUCCUCACGGCCUCGUCGCCUGUAGGUUCUCCGCCGCCGCCCCACGCGACACAGGCCAUCUCUCCCCUGUUUCCCUCUUCUCCAUCCCACACGACAAGCGCGCGGCAGAAGGCGACCACCAUAUCUCUCUUCUCCCUCGCCCCGUUACGCCUCACCCACCGCCGCUUCCUCUCCCCGCCCCCCGGCACGGCCUCACGCUUCCAGUCUCUCGCCUCGAAGGAGGCGGACGCCUCAAUCGUCUCCGGGGCCGGUGGGGCGCGGGGAGCGAGCUGCUCUCGGUGCUCGACCUGGCGCUCACCGUCGAGGAUCACUACUGCCGCCAGCGCGCCCAGGAGCAGCGGAAGGGCAUGGAGGCGGAGGGGUCCGGCAUAGAGGGCAUCUCGGUGGGCGGGCACGAGGCAUGCGUCACUGCGCCGUCCCCAUACUGCGGCAGUGGUCUAUUCAGCAACGAUCUGUACACUGCCUGACAUUUUUGUUUGAGCAGCUUCAGUAUUAUCUUCAUCUAAUUGCUUGUCAAGUUGCUAAUUGGAGUCUUCAGAUUCUUAGUCACAUUGUAGGUCAGUAAAUCUGAUUGUGUGACACCUUUGAGUGUUCAUCUGAAAGUUAAUUCUAGAUCUCGCUAGAGAAUGAUCCUGAUACAUGGAAACAAUCUGAUUUAUUCAUUGUGCGAUUACUUAGACCGGGCACCGGGCCUGCACCUUGCUUCAGUAAGUAAUCCACAAAUUGUGUUUUUUUCCGGGUUGGUUCAGCAAUGAUACUUAUACAUGCAAACAUAUCUGAUUUAUUCCUGUAUAGCUCAGUGCCUGCUGUUAAUUAUGUUUUUUCUCCUUCCUCAGGAUCCACAAAUUGUCAAGCGCACAUGGUACAACCAUCAAGUUCUGGGAUAUUAGCUGGCUUAGUGCAGGCAGUCUUUUAACAAAGGAUGGAUGCGAGUAGUGAUAUGCUGAAUACCAUGGAUCUAUGUUCACUGAAGAUAAGUUCUCUUCCUGAAACUUACAAGCACAAACUUCCUUAGUCAACUCAAAGCUAAGCACGGUUAUAAACAAGAUGCUUUAAUAUAAUCAAUACUGCUUGAAUUUAUAUCAGUUUCCAACACUAUCCGAGUCUUUGAGCCAUUCUCUAAAAAUAAAAAUAAACACCUUGAGUGCUUUCUUACCAGUGCCUCCGAUCAAGUUUGGUUUUUUUAUAACCUUAUUAUAAUCCAGUAUUUAAUAUGCCAUCUAAUGAUCCAAGGUCUUUACAGGGAAAACAAUGGCAGUUUUAAUGCAAGUUCACUGAACAACUACCAUAUCUUUAUGUAGCAUUUGAUUGCUUGGAUGAAGUUGGAUGGCAGAUCCCCAUCCAGCUUUUAAAAGUUGGUGUAGGUGUUGCAGCUUCUUCAGUGCAGUAUACACUGGCAACUGGGAGCACACUUGAAUUACAUGAAUACAUUUCUUCAGAGAACCCGUUGUUGUGUGCAGAAUAUAUUUCUUCAGAGAAUGUGUUAUUGUGCAGAAACUACAAUGAAGUUGUCGGUGGAGAAGAUCCGGUGAACCCAACUACAUCGGGUUGGUUCAAAGGGAGUGGUCCGAUCAGGUCCUUCCAACGGUCUAUUGUCCGUCGAAGGUCACGUUCAUCUCUGGCAAAUUCCACCGCAGCCUCGGUCGUACGUGUGCUUCGAUCUAUUUUCGUAUUGUUUUCUUGGGCGUUUGGCAAAUGCUUCACAUACUAAGCUAAACAUGCACAACUAUGUAAGAUAGUUUCACCUGUCUCUUAUGUUCUUGCAGUUUGACAUCCAUUGCCAAUUUGUAUUGUUUCUAAACUAAAAUGAUUCCCUCUUGUUCACUAAUUAUGUAUGAACUGAAAUCAUGCCCCGCUCCUGUACUACAUUGGUCUUUCAUAUGCUGGUUGUUCACACAUGGCAUUAGCUUGUCCAUUUCUACUUUAUUUGUCCAGUUCACUGGAAAUGGAAAUACCGCCUGAACCUUUUAUGCUUACCUAUUAAGCUUACCUGCAAUGUCCACUCCUAUUGUUCUCUGACCUGUCAAACAAUAAGAGAUGGUGCAGCUAGCUGCUGAAAAGGAGAUGACUGUGGUCCUCUUGACAACGAAGAUGAAGACGCGGUAGACCAAGCCUUAUGUGUUCUCCACUUGCAUGCACAACGAGUUCCGCAAGAUGGCCAAUGUUGUCAAGAACCAGGUCACUGGAAGCUACUACAUGCCUGACUUGACCAAACCCGCUCUUGCAAGACUUUCAAUUUACUGCAACCUCCGAGUUUCCAAAUACGGUGUCAAGAAAAAGAAGAAAAAAGUCCAUUUUACUACGGUGAACAAAGUUGGUGGUUCACAUUACCCCUGAUCUAUUUUUCUGCUCUUUUCACCCCGUAAACAAUCCCAAACCGGACAAAAGACCCCCAUGGGUGGUUUGUGUCAACUUCCAGCUGAUGUGGCGCUGGUCAAUGGUGGUUUGACCUACGGGUGGGGCCAUGAGGAUUAACUUAACUGAAACAGGAAAUUAGCCCAUGGUUAAUUAGGCAAUGGGACCCGCUUGGCAGUGACUUGGGGGUGGAUUAACUAAGUGCUAAUGGUAGGUUUAGCCGGUGGCUAGCCGGAGCACGACGAAGCUAAGGGCACGAACGGCGGGGAGGUGCUGCAGCAGCUGGCGAUGGAGCAGCACUGGGCGUAAAAUGGGUGGUGGUGGCCCAGUUCUUGGGCAUCAUCGUCCCUCUCCUUGCGCAGGAGGUAGCGAGACAGCGAGGCAGGCGGCACGGGGAGGCAUGGGGCGGCCAGAUCCAGGGAUGGCGGCCCCAUUAGGUCUGGUUCUGGCCUGUCUGGAGUCUAGCAUUGGUGUGAAGACGACACGACGGUGAGCUUGUGGCGGCGGCGGCUCAACCCCCAGGCAUGGUCGUCCCUGUCUUCGCACGGGAGGUAGCAGGGCAGCGGCAGCGGCGCUGCAGGUGCAGGGGGAGCCCGAGGGGGCGACCAGAUCCGGGGGUAGCGGCCCCAUAUGGUCUGGUUCCGGUCGGAUGCGGAGUUCGGCGACGGUGUGAAGACGGCCCGCCGGCGAGCUUGUGGCGACGGUUGACCUAUACGUGAGCCGGGAGAAGAGAGAAGGGAGAGGAAAGAGAUGGGAGAAAGGAGAAGCAGGGCGGCAGCUUGGAACUCCGGCGGUCGCCGGCAUCAUCUAGAGGCGGCAGGGUCGGGCGUGGUGCUCGGGAAGGAGGCAGCUAUGAGGGGAGGCUCGGGAGGAGCUCCUCUGUCUCAACCCAGCUUGAUGAGGGAGACUCACCCGCAGGUCAAAACCGGCCAUUGACCAUUGCCACGUCAGCAACCAGUGAAGUAAAACCACCCAGGGACUGAUUUUUUUCCGGUAUGAAAUUGUUCAGGGGGUAAAAGGAACAGAAAUAAAGAUCAGGGGGUUAUGUGAACCACCAAUUUUCUUCAGUGUAGUAAAAUGGACUUUUUUGAAAAAGAACAUCCAUACGAAUAGCGUUGAGAGGCAAUGAGCUUUUUUGUGUGCAUGAGUUGGUUUGUGUUUCCAUUCUUCUAGAUUUGUUCUAAGAGAAUGGAGUCGAAUAUAAUGAAUGAUGUGCUCAGCAGACAGGCACAAGUUUUGCCAGUAGGUUCAACAUUUGUACCCCAUGACUAUGUGUUCCAGAACUGAUUUGGACAUUCCCCCUUUUCUUUAGAGAUGAAGGGAUCAUUUGUAUUCCCUCUGUGCCAUGCCUGCGUGCAUGAUUACUCAGUACAGUCAUGUUCAUUUUUGUUAUGUUUCUAAACAUGUAUAUCAUUUAUGUGUGUGAACUGGUGGUGUCCAUUAGAAAUACUUAUUG